rnacentral:rRNA from 1 species
GUGUCAGCCGCCGCGGUAAGACGAACCGUCCAAACGUUAUUCGGAAUUACUGGGCUUAAAGGGUGCGUAGGCGGUGCUACAAGUCGGGUGUGAAAUCCCUCAGCUUAACUGAGGAACUGCGCCCGAAACUGUAGUGCUGGAGUGAGGCAGGGGUGAGCGGAACUGAUGGUGGAGCGGUGAAAUGUGUUGAUAUCAUCAGGAACACCGGUGGCGAAGGCGGCUCACUGGGCCUUUACUGACGCUGAGGCACGAAAGCUAGGGGAGCAAACGGGAUUAGAAACCCUAGUAGUCC